GGGGGCGUCACGGCUUCGACGGGAUUGCUUGCGGCAGAGAGGCAUGCCGGGGUGUGAACACCCGUAAUCGCUCACAAAACUAUAAGUGCCGAACCUCAAUUCGCGCUUGCUGCUUAAUUAAUUAGGUAGCCGAUGGCUUCCGCUUCGCCUACGGGCGGAUACCCAUCGUCGCACAGUAGGCUGGUCUGCGCUGUUCCGCCUGGACGGCAAUGACGAGAUCGAUCAGGCUGGUGGCUGGCUCAUCUUCGCCCGUUCUCAGGGCUGGCUACGAGACAAAGAGGAACGCGGAAAAGCAUGAAUGCUCUCUGUUGUUGGUUUUUUCGGACGUGGGUUCGACUCCCACCGCCUCCACCA
rnacentral:tmRNA from 1 species